GACGUAGGGCGCGAGCGUUGUCCGGAUUUAUUGGGCGUAAAGAGCUCGUAGGCGGCUUGUCGCGUCGACUGUGAAAUCCCGCGGCUCAACUGCGGGUCUGCAGUCGAUACGGGCAGGCGUAGAGUUCGGUAGGGGAGACUGGAAUUCCUGGUGUAGCGGUGAAAUGCGCAGACGUAUCAGGAGGAACACCGGUGGCGAAGGCGGUUCUCUGGGCAUUACCUGACGCU
rnacentral:rRNA from 1 species